UACGUAGGGUGCAAGCGUUGUUCGGAUUCAUUGGGCGUAAAGGGUGCGUAGGCGGCGCGGUAAGUCGGGUGUGAAAUCUUGGAGCUUAACUCCGAAACUGCAUUCGAUACUGCCGUGCUUGAGGACUGGAGAGGAGACUGGAAUUCAUGGUGUAGCAGUGAAAUGCGUAGAGAUCAUGAGGAAGACCAGUGGCGAAGGCGGGUCUCUGGACAGUUCCUGACACUGAGACACGAAGGCCAGGGGAGCAAACGGG
rnacentral:rRNA from 1 species